GACGAACGCUGGCGGCGUGCCUAAUACAUGCAAGUUGAGCGCUGAAGGUUGGUACUUGUACCAACUGGAUGAGCAGCGAACGGGUGAGUAACGCGUGGGGAAUCUGCCUUUGAGCGGGGGACAACAUUUGGAAACGAAUGCUAAUACCGCAUAAAAACUUUAAACACAAGUUUUAAGUUUGAAAGAUGCAAUUGCAUCACUCAAAGAUGAUCCCGCGUUGUAUUAGCUAGUUGGUGAGGUAAAGGCUCACCAAGGCGAUGAUACAUAGCCGACCUGAGAGGGUGAUCGGCCACAUUGGGACUGAGACACGGCCCAAACUCCUACGGGAGGCAGCAGUAGGGAAUCUUCGGCAAUGGACGAAAGUCUGACCGAGCAACGCCGCGUGAGUGAAGAAGGUUUUCGGAUCGUAAAACUCGGUUGGUAGAGAAGAACGUUGGUGAGAGUGGAAAGCUCAUCAAGUGACGGUAACUACUCAGAAAGGGACGGCUAACUACGUG
rnacentral:rRNA from 1 species